UGCAAUUCAGCAGAAGACCUGAGUUUGAGGUAAGUUCAGAGAAAUGCAAUAUGGAUGUAGGCAGUUAUUUGUCAGGUUUAAAUUUGUUGACAUUUAUUUUUCAGGAUGUGGUUUUUGUCAAGUCAGAAUCUCUGAAUUAAUGUGGAACAAAAGGAGGAACUAUUAGUUUUCGAAAGAACACCCUACAGCUCUUUCACAACAGUAAAAUUCAGCUGAAGACUUGAAAGUUGAUAUUUGUGAAGAUUGAAAAUGGCAAACUUCACAUCCACAUAUGACAAUGUGAGUGAUGGUGCUGCAUACCUUUGUGAUACUAAUGUUCCCACCAUCACUGGUCCCCUUUUCAUCUUGAUCUUCAUCCUCAGUAUCACAUGCAACAGUCUCCUCUUAUGUGUUCUCUUCAUCUACGAAAAUCUGAAAAGUAUCACAAAUAUUUUCAUCCUGAACCUGGUCUGCUCCGAUUUGAUCUUCACCAUUACACUUCCAUUCUGGGCUGUUGAUCAUCUUCACCACUGGGUCUUUGAAGGCUUUGUCUGCAAAUUCGUGACUGCUGCAUUCUUUGUUGGUCUGUACAGCAGUGUCAUUCUGCUGACUGCCAUGACAGUGGAUCGUUUCAUUACUGUGGUGCUGCACAACUGGCCGAUCAGCUAUGCCAGAAUGAAGAGGUGUGCAAUUGGUGCCUGUAUAGCUGCCUGGGUCAUCAGCAUCUCAGCGUCCCUGAGUGAUGCAAUGAAAGUAAAGGUUGAAAACUGGUAUGGUAAAAACUAUUGCUAUUAUGAAUCUGAAGAAAAGCUUGGACGUUAUCUCCAAGUGUCACUGCUAUUCUUCCUCCCAUUUGCCAUCAUUAUUUUCUGCUAUUCUGCCAUCCUCAAGACAGUUUUACAAGGUUUAAACAGAAAGAAGUUCAGGACUGUGGCUGUGCUGUUGUGUAUUGUUGCAGUCUUUUUCAUUUGCUGGGGGCCAUACCAUAUUGUGCUUUUAAUCAAGUCUCUCAAUACAAACAAAGAUUGUAAUGUACUGAAACGGUUAGAAGUUGCCUACCAUAUUUGUGAAAUGCUUGCCUAUUCUCACUGCUGUAUGAACCCUCUGCUGUAUAUGCUCUCACAGAAGUUGCGAAAGCAUCUGUUGAAUCUUUUGCGCUGUGAAAAAGUGAACAGGAAGAAGAGAGAGAGAAGCACCAGCCUGAACACUUCACAACAUUUCACAUUGCAGAGCUCUGCUGUUUAGAUGGAACUGCACAACUAUCCAUUUAACAGUCACUAAUGAAAUUAAACCUUGAUUCAGGCUGAUAGAGUCAAAGUACUUUGAUGUGUAAGUGUAUUAACACAUUCAUUGAGGCAAACAGAGCAGCAUUUAGAGUGACAUGGACUGUAAAAGUAACAAUAUCUGGUGUAUUUUUCCUUUUAUCUUCAGGCUGCAAAUAUGUUCAUACAAUAUCGUUUCUACUCAUUUAAUUUCAUAUCUUUUGCAUAAUUGCUUGAAAUAAAACAAUGUUAAAUAAAACUUGAAAAUAUGCAAUGAAUUAUACAAGUUUUCAGGUAUUUAAAAUAUUUGAUGUGACUUUUUCAUUGAGUCACAGUGAUCCUGGUAGACUCAUUUCUAAAUCAUUUGACUCUCUUCUUAAAAAAAUUGUAUUUAAUAUUCUGAUUUUUAUUCCAUUCACCUUUUUUAAUAUAUUUUAUUUAUUUAAACCUCCUAAGGUCCAACAAUUAAUUUUUGUCCUGUGUCUGUGACGUGAGUCUGAGUCUAUGCAGUAAAAGUCUGAGUACCUGAUAUUUUCAUCCAAUGUUCACAGUUAAGGAUGUAGAGGGCAGGAUGAGACAAAUUAUUUUACUCA